rnacentral:piRNA from 1 species
UCCUCACCUAAUCUCCUUGUGAAGAGAGA